rnacentral:lncRNA from 1 species
UUAACUUAAAUCUGAAUCUUUCAUAAAUUAUAUCAAACUUCUAAUAUUUACUCUUAGGUCCCUAGCUAUAAACUUUUAAUAUAAUAUCAUUGAAUAUAAAAUAAUUAUUAAAUAAUCCUUAUUUUUUACAAACAAACCUUUUACUAAAUUUUUAAAAAUGGGGGAUGUUACACUAGAGUUAGGAGGUUGUUUCUCAAAGAA